GGCCUCUAAAACAGAAACAAGCGGCAAGGAAAACAGGAAAAAGGCUGCUUCCUUCCAGACAGUGUCACAACUACACAAGGAGAAUCUCAACAAGCUGAUGACAAACUUGCGGAGCACUCAACCCCAGUUUGUGCGCUGCAUUAUUCCCAAUGAGACCAAAACACCAGGUAUUGCAUUUAUAAUCCUCACGCAGUCCCUGAUGACAAGUUUGUUGACAGCAGGAAAGCUGCAGAUAAACUUCUGGCUUCACUGGACAUCGACCAUAAUCAGUAUAGAUUUGGACAUACUAAAGCAAGUCAGACUUCAGUCAAUAAAAGGUGUUCUUUAAAGCUGGUCUGUUGGGAGACCUGGAGGAGAUGAGGGACGAGCGUCUGUCUAAAGUUCUCACUCUACUGCAGGCCACCAGCAGUAGCAAGAUCAUGAGGAUGGAGCUGAAGAAGAUGAUGGAGAGGAAGUAAUACAUGAUUCUAUAAAAAUUCUGAAAUUAAAAUACAGUGGCCCCCAAGAAUAUUUGGAUAUUUAAGUCACACUUAAAAAUGAAUACAAGUAAUUGUAUUAGAUAAGAUUUCCAACCAGGUUCCAAUUUUUUAAAGAAAGAUAUUUCAUAAAAAAUGUAUUUCCUAUAGUUAGUGGAACAUCCACCCCACCAAAAAAAUUACUUUGACACUUUGAGUUAUUCCUGAAAAAAAACAUAAUUUAUUUAACCAGUUGAGUUUUACCAUUUUCGAAUCAAUUCAACCAAUCUCCGGGUCUGGUGAUAGAACAUUUAGCUUAGCUUAGCAUAGAUCAUUGAAUCUGAUUAGACCGUUUGUAUCUCGCUCCAAAAUGACCAAAGAAUUUUUAUUUUUGUCCUAUUUAAAACUUGACUCUACUGUAGUUACAUUGUGUACUAAGAUUGACGGAAAUUGAAAAGUUGCGAUAU